AAACUAUAAAAUUGCUAUAGGUGCUGCUAAAGGUCUUUCUUUCUUGCAUGGAGCUGACAAACCUGUCAUUUACAGGGAUUUUAAGACUUCCAAUGUCUUGCUUGAUUCCGAUUUCACAGCAAAACUCUCAGACUUUGGAUUAGC